rnacentral:rRNA from 1 species
GAUGAACGCUGGCGGCGUGCCUAAUACAUGCAAGUCGAGCGAACGGACGAGAAGCUUGCUUUUCUGAUGUUAGCGGCGGACGGGUGAGUAACACGUGGAUAAACUACCUAUAAGACUGGGAUAACUUUGGGAAACCGGAGCUAAUACCGGAUAAUAUUUUGAAACGAAUGGUUCAAAAGUGAAAGACGGUCUUGCUGUCACUUAUAGAUGGAUCCGCGCUGCAUUAGCUAGUUGGUAAGGUAACGGCUUACCAAGGCAACGAUGCAUAGCCGACCUGAGAGGGUGAUCGGCCACACUGGAACUGAGACACGGUCCAGACUCCUACGGGAGGCAGCAGUAGGGAAUCUUCCGCAAUGGACGAAAGCCUGACGGAGCAACGCCGCGUGAGUGAUGAAGGUCUUCGGAUCGUAAAACUCUGUUAUUAGGGAAGAACAUAUGUGUAAGUAACUGUGCACAUCUUGACGGUACCUAAUCAGAAAGCCACGGCUAACUACGUG